rnacentral:rRNA from 1 species
UACGAAGGGGGCUAGCGUUGCUCGGAAUCACUGGGCGUAAAGGGUGCGUAGGCGGGUCUUUAAGUCGGAGGUGAAAUCCUGGAGCUCAACUCCAGAACUGCCUUCGAUACUGAGAGUCUUCGAGUUCGGGAGAGGUGAGUGGAACUGCGAGUGUAGAGGUGAAAUUCGUAGAUAUUCGCAAGAACACCAGUGGCGAAGGCGGCUCACUGGCCCGAUACUGACGCUGAGGUGCGAAAGCGUGGGGAGCAAACAGG